rnacentral:misc_RNA from 1 species
UUUAACACUUUUUCUUUCCGCAUUACCAUUUUGACGUUUACAUGAAUUUAUGCAAUGCAUUCUUAUACUAAACAGUAGUCAAGCCUUUAUAAUGUAGGCCGUGACACCGUGCCACAUGCACACACUAUACUAUGAUAGAGGAUCGUGAGCUAUAGUGCGUGCAGUGCACCGUAGGGUUUCAAGUAUAGUUACGUAUAAUUAGAGCAAGCCGAUUGACCGUGACACCUCUCAGUCGUGUCUUUGUCUCUGUCAUACUUGGUUAAACCUGAUGACUCUCUUGAAACGGUGUCCUAGAUGUUUGCACUUUCUCCGUCAUUGUCCUAUUCUCCAACUCUGCAUGGAACUACGAUGCGAAACCCUUUGAAAAAUCUUCGUCAUCGUGGAGCCUCUUCGACGGAUGAUGGAGAAUCAAAAAUAGCUUGUGGAAUUGCUAACAAUAUCCAUUGUUUAUUUUAAUUACACGUGUUUCAAGAGAGGCUCUGGUGAUCUCCAGCGAAGGGAUUAUGUUCAAAGCAGAGCCGUAGUCACUGUGGUCGGAGGAAAUCUGAGGAUUGAAUUUUAAAGGGAAUAUAAUUAUUAUAGUUAGUAUAACUAUCUACCAGCUUUGAGUAAAAGACUGUGUCUAGUUUUCCUUAAAAAGGAUCGGUAGUAUGAUUUAGAAAUGCUCAUAGAAUGGAUAUCAAUACGAUUGUAAAAUGACAUGAUAGUGAAAGACCAAAAAAAAUGUUAUACAAUAUUUUUACAUUGACAACAGUCAACUCUGAAAACUUUUAAAAAUAUUGUAUUACUUCUAAUUCCUUUUAAACAAGAAAUCACAUAUUAAUUGAAAUAUAAAUUGAAUUAUAAUGGUGUAUUGUCCUAGGAUUAUUGAUAUAAAAAUAUUAAUAUAAUCCUUGCAGUAAAGAUGACAGCUUAAUUCAAUAGAAUCAUAACAUUCAUACCGUGGAGACUUUUCCUGUGAUAAUAUGAUAAUUUAUCGAGGAUAUAAAAAAGGGAAAUCCAGAAAGAAUAAUGAGGACUACAUCCCUAAGUUUUUGCAAUGUAAUUUGAAAUAAACAAUUUCAAAGUGGUAACAAGAAACUUAACAAAAAUGGCAAAGAAGUCUGGGCCCAUCUGCCAGGCAAAGGCAACUCGUUGCCUGAAGGUUCCUUUAAAAUCAACAGAGCAGAUCUACUUAGUCUUUUUAAUUCCAACGCUGCUUAGUUGUAUCAUUUACAUUGUGCACUUCUCAUCCGAUUUGGUGGUAGCGAUACAGCAUUUUAGAGAAGAGCAUUCAGCAUGGGGAUGCUAUACGAUUGGUUUGAUGUAUGCUCCUGCUAUUGCAUAUUUUGGACUAACCGUCUCGAGACCAGACUGGUGGAUGACAGAAGAUGAUAAAUUGUCUAAGGGAGUCGUGCAAUGGUUUUUGCUACAAUUGUGUCAUCUUAUUGCAUUUCCACUAUUUGCACUUUACAGAUAUGCUGGCCAAAUAGUACUUGCAAUUGAUGCUAUUCUUCUAUCUGGACAAGAAAGGACAAAAACCUUAAACGUAGCUGCUGUACCAGCUGCCAUUGAAUUAUAUUUCUUCCUUCAAGCCUGGUUCCAGGCAGCGCCGCAAGCAGUACUGCAAACUCAUUUGCUGUUUCGACAGGAACAUAUCAUACGCAGUGCACAAUCUGUUACGGUCCACGUUCUGUGCAUCUUCAUGUCGAUUUUGGCACUUUCCAUACAGACAAUGUCCUUUCAAAGGUUUGAAAGCCAACGAGUAAAUGGUAGAAAGGUACCCUGGGCAAUGUGGUUAAAUAAGUAUCGCACUCAGGAUUUUGGAAGUUUAGGUGAAAAGAAACCAUUGCAAUCGACUGUACUACCUGAAGAAAAGAGUACUACAGAACAAACCACUUCUGAACAAAAUGUCGAGACGGAUUCCAAGGAAGAUCUAUUACCGGACAGACCAAGUAAUCCGCUGUAUCAAAAUCUCACCGAUGGAGUACCAGUUCUGGAACGUCAGAUUUCGACAACUCCUCCGUUGCCCCCUCGGAAUGUUCAGGUUACACCACCUCCAGCUCCUCUGCGAGGAAUCACAACGGUGACACCUCUUCCAAUACCAGAAAUGCCAGCACCCCCUCGACCAGACUCUGCACUAAUUUCACCGGAGUCUAAAUAUCUAAGUAAAGGAGCUUUGUUGCCAGCAGAACCAUCCGAAAGCCAGUACGAAAGGUCUCCAAGUUUAAGAGUGCCAACAAGAGUGUACACCACGAAGGGCCUCGAAGAGGACGAUCCCAUUGGCAAGUUUUUGGGCAUACUCUGGUGGUGGUUUUUUAUCGCACCCAGAAUAUUUUCCAUUGCUGUGUUCUACGAGUUUUACCCGGAAUAUUUGUUAAUAAUAGUGGGCCUGCAUUAUGUCAUCAUGCUCGCCUAUUUGUUCUACUACUCCAAGGAUUAUUGCGUAACAACAGUUGCCAUUAACCUGUGGCUUGGCAUGGUGUAUAUCUUUGGUAUAAUCGAAUAUAAAGUGAAGUUCAAGUAUGCAGAUCGCUGGAUUAUAUCCUACUAUGUGUUUAUGAUGUUGCAAAACACGUUUUUAUCACUAAUUUGGUACUUCUAUGCUGAAUGGGAUAGCUAUUGGUAUGCGUACAUAUUCUUUGCCACCUUCGCAAGUAUGGGACUUUGUAUAAUGUGUACUGUAGUGUAUUACGUUUUACUAAAGCCAAAGAAACACAGAGUGUAUGCUAGUUGACCCGACAAGCAAACAAGUAAUAUCAAACGAGUAUGUUUUAAAUGCAAAGCAUUGUUUGAAAAUGUCAAAAAUAUGUUACGCAGCCAAAGUUAGUCUUCGCGAACGUCUCUUCGUCUUUUAUCCAGGUAUCUUUUAUGGUCAAUGCUAGUCUUCACAAGUACUUUAUCACUUCUUCCAGUAAACGGCACGAAAAACUUAGUAAAAUAUUAAAGCGUUAAAGGAAGAAAUAAAAUCUUUGACAAAGGUAAAAAUGAAAGAAUGCAAAGAAAGUUAACCAAUAGCGUAAUCUAACUGUUAAAAGACUAAAAGAAAACGUGUUCCGUGGCUAGUAAUAGGUGGGGCAAAUACUUUUUGGAUUCUUCCAGUGAAGGAAGAAUGAACUUUAAGGAAAUUUAAAUUAUUCCUCACGGUAAGAAUGAAUGAAGUUGAGCUUCUUAAAAUAACAAUACGUAGAAUGAAAUUCAAAUUCAACGUUGAGGUCUCUACUAAAGGUGGAAAAGGUUCUUGCUUCACUUGAAACGAUCUCAUGUCCUCUAAAGUAAGUCCCAAUGAUUAUGAACAGAGUCCAAGUUAUAUACAGGUGUUCAAACAUUGAACUCGAUGGAUGCUGUAUGUGUUCAUAUUUAGAUAUUUAUUUGUUAUCUAACCGUUCAUAUAGUAAACACCAGAUGUAAGCUUAUGCAAAAGAUCCGCCGAAAAAAGACUUGUAAAUUUAGUUACUAAAUCUGGCAGCAGUCUCUUUUUAUCGUACCGAUAAAAAAUGUUAUUUUACUUAAUAGUAUGUACAGAAUUGUAAUGUACUAUAUACAAUAUAAAAGUCACUGCUCAUGUAUUGUUUUACACGAUUAUUAAAAUAACUCGAAACGAG